rnacentral:rRNA from 1 species
GACGAACGCUGGCGGCGUGCUUAACACAUGCAAGUCGAACGGUGAAGCGCUUGCCUUUUUGGUGGGUGUGGAUGAGUGGCGAACGGGUGAGUAACACGUGAGUAACCUGCCCUCUUCUUCUGGAUAACCUCAUGAAAGUGGGGCUAAUACGGGGUAUUCCGGGUCUGUCGCAUGGCGGGUUUGGGAAAGAUUGCGCCUUUGGGUGUUUUCGGUGGGGGAUGGGCUCGCGGCCUAUCAGCUUGUUGGUGGGGUGAUGGCCUACCAAGGCGGUGACGGGUAGCCGGCCUGGGAGGGUGGACGGCCACACUGGGACUGAGACACGGCCCAGACUCCUGCGGGAGGCAGCAGUGGGGAAUAGUGCACAAUGGGCGCAAGCCUGAUGCAGCGACGCCGCGUGAGGGAUGGAGGCCUUCGGGUUGUGAACCUCUUUCGCCAGUGAAGCAGGCCUGCCUCGUUUGUGGGUGGGUUGACGGUAGCUGGAUAAGAAGCGCCGGCUAACUACGUG